rnacentral:lncRNA from 1 species
GGAGAAUGGCUGGACGUGGUUCUGAAUAAGAACAUCUCCUUUAGCUGCUGGGAAUUAAUUAUCCUUUUAUUCCAUUCUGUACUUGUCUCAGGUGUCAAAGGUUGUCCUUUUCCAUUCCCAUGGUCCAAUCCUUUUUUUUUUUUUUUUGGCAUAGGAUAGUUUUCUUGAGAAUCUGUUUCUCCCUCCAAAUCAUACUGUCCUGUCUAGAAUCCUAAUAAAAUUAAUAUGGCUUUUGUUCUUGACCACCUAAGCUAUCCAGAUAGAUGGAAGUCUAUAGAGCAACUUUAGAAGACUCUCUCCAGGGCUCCUUAGACACCAGGGAUCUUUACAGCAUCCUUAAGUGGGGUUUCCAGGUUUCUUGGGUAGUCAAUAGAAGGCCAUGAAUUUCAUUUUCUUUCAACUUACAAAUACACUAAUACAUUUUUCUGAUGUUAAUGAGGAAAAAGGAAAAUUUGAAUAUUAGUGAGUGGUGCCAGCUACUAAAGAAGGCCAGUCCAUCAAAUCAGAUAAUUACAUCAUUUUUAAUAACUUAGAAAAAAAAGCAAAACGGUUCUCUUUCCUUUGGCCAGUUGCGAUACUGCAGGGAUCUAUUAAAAAAAAAAAAACAAAAAAAAAACAAAAAAAAAACAAAAAAAAAACAACUUUGUUAAACAUAGUUUGGAAAGUGUAGCUAAAUGAUGGGCCUUUGGAAAGGUUUUACCUUAUGUUAAAAAAAAUAUUUCCACUACCAAAGUAAACAAUUCAGUGGAAUAAAAUGCUAAGGACAUGUCCUUUCCUCCAAAGACAAGGCAUAACAAACCCCUGACAGCUAAAGUUGCUAACUCUUUCAAACUCUGAGAUAUUUUUGAUCAGUCCUAUUAUUACAGCUAUUAGUAAGCCCAAAGUAUAGAAAGACCAUGUGUGAUUUUAAUGAGAAGCCCAUUGGCAAAUGUUGACAUUCGUAAUCACUGUAGAGGUAAUAGCUUUGUUCGAAGGAGGCAAUCGAGCCAUGUCUAGAAUUAUAACCCAGGCUACUGGGGAUGUGGUGGGAUUUUAGAAGAAAAAGGAACACCAAGAAUCUGGCUUCUUCCUGUUUCCUCUUGGUAAUCUUCCAAACUGGAAGCGAUGAGGAGAGCUUCCAGUGCGCUAGACACCUGUGCCUGAGGGCUUUCCUGGUGUUUGUAGGUGUUCUACUUCCUCCCUUCCUUCCAAAAUGAAGGCAGAUGUCCCAGGAUCUUCUUAAUCUGGGAGAGGAGACGUGGUCUCCUGAUUCCUGUAUCAUUCAAGCUUCUGAUUGUAUUUUCAUAUGAUAUAUUCUAUGUGAAAAGAAAAACACCCACUCCACACACACUUUCACUCUUUAGAGAAAGUCAGCUGUCUGUCUCCUGAAGACUUAAGCCAGAUAAGCGAAGCCCAGAAUAAGAAAGUGCAUCCUUAAGAAAUUAUAUUUACACAUGUAGAGUCCUUUGCUGAACCAAAGAGUUUUGUUUCUUGGGGUAGAUUUUUAAAGAUUAUGUAUUGUAUAUAGAAAAGCCAUUUUUAAUAGGAUUAAUAUAACAUGCUUAAAAGAAUUUCUAAAGUCUAAAAAUAUCUUAUUUGCAUUUGAUUUCUAUGUACUAUAUGCUUUUUCAUGUAUAUAUUUUAUAAUUACCAACAUAUGCAGGGGGAAAACUGAUACAUUGGAUGGCUAUUAGGACUGUACAGUUAUAGUAACAAUGAUUUUCUCCAGAGUGUUCCAUCAUUGCAAUCGAAAAGUCCUACAUGUUUAGAGUUAAAACACGCCUUGGAAAUUAAUCUUUCCUGUGAGUGGCCAUAUCAUGUAUAAUUCCCACACAUGGUUUAAUGUGUUCCCUUUACAAAGAUGAGGAUGUGUCAGACUGAAUUAUCAUUGAAUCGCAACUUGAUUUCUAGCUCAGUGACCUUGGGAAAUUGAUUUGCCUUUGGGUACUAGCUUCUCACUUGUAGAACAAAGGCUAGGCUAAGUGGUAUUAUCUACAGACAGAUCCUUAUCUGGUAUCUGUGAAAUGGUUUUUGCUGCAUAGAUGGAAGCUACUGUUACUAUAUCUCUGUUAAAAUUAAAGCGGCCUUAAUAACUACUUAGUUCUGAACCAUGUGUGUCAAUGGUGUCUGUGUUCAAUGGUGUCUGAGUUAAAUUAAAUCUGCAGUAAAAAUAGUUGAUC